UACAGAGGUCCCAAGCGUUGUUCGGAUUCACUGGGCGUAAAGGGUGCGUAGGCGGUCGGGUAAGUCUGAUGUGAAAUCUCACAGCUUAACUGUGAAACUGCAUUGGAUACUAUCCGGCUAGAGGAAUGGAGGGGAGACUGGAAUACUUGGUGUAGCAGUGAAAUGCGUAGAUAUCAAGUGGAACACCAGUGGCGAAGGCAAUGUUCUGGCUCGUUUCUGACGCUCAGGUGCGAAAGCCAGGGGAGCGAACGGG
rnacentral:rRNA from 1 species